UCGCCGCCCCUGUGGCUGUCGCCGCCAGCUCCUAGCUCCGCCAUGGUGCUCGGAUGACGCGCUUCGAGAGCCGCUCCGCCCUCUUCCUCGGCUUCGCUCCCGCCGGCCCCCCGCCUCCAGGGCCCGCGGCCCAGACAGGUUACAAGAGGCAGCUAUCUGUCCUUGAGAUUGGGAUGUAAAAAAAGAUGCAGCUAUGUUGUUGCAAGUAUCCAAUGAGAAAAUAAGGUUCUCCCUCCCCUGCGAAGAUCAGUUCUGUCUGUUAGAAUCUCCACGGAAGGCUGGAAACCAACUGAGCGACAGUCAAGUCUGUGUGUCUCGGAAGUCAGUGAUGGCCUUCCACAGUGUGCAAAGCAUCCCUCCCC